rnacentral:rRNA from 1 species
GGCCAGACUCCUACGGGAGGCAGCAGUGGGGGAUAUUGCACAAUGGGGGGAACCCUGAUGCAGCGACGCCGCGUGGGUGAAGGAGCGUUUCGGCGCGUAAAGCCCUAUCGGCAGGGAAGAAGAUGACGGUACCUGACCAAGAAGCCCCGGCUAACUACGUGCCAGCAGCCGCGGUAAUACGUAGGGGGCAAGCGUUAUCCGGAUUUACUGGGUGUAAAGGGAGCGUAGACGGCUGGUCAAGUCUGAAGUGAAAGCCCGGGGCUUAACCCCGGAACGGCUUUGGAAACUGAGCAGCUAGAGUGCUGGAGAGGUAAGCGGAAUUCCUAGUGUAGCGGUGAAAUGCGUAGAUAUUAGGAGGAACACCAGUGGCGAAGGCGGCUUACUGGACAGUAACUGACGUUGAGGCUCGAAAGCGUGGGGGGCAAACAGGAUUAGAUACCCUCGUA